rnacentral:rRNA from 2 species
UAGGGAAUCUUCGGCAAUGGACGAAAGUCUGACCGAGCAACGCCGCGUGAGUGAAGAAGGUUUUCGGAUCGUAAAACUCUGUUGUUAGAGAAGAACAAGGACGUUAGUAACUGAACGUCCCCUGACGGUAUCUAACCAGAAAGCCACGGCUAACUACGUGCCAGCAGCCGCGGUAAUACGUAGGUGGCAAGCGUUGUCCGGAUUUAUUGGGCGUAAAGCGAGCGCAGGCGGUUUCUUAAGUCUGAUGUGAAAGCCCCCGGCUCAACCGGGGAGGGUCAUUGGAAACUGGGAGACUUGAGUGCAGAAGAGGAGAGUGGAAUUCCAUGUGUAGCGGUGAAAUGCGUAGAUAUAUGGAGGAACACCAGUGGCGAAGGCGGCUCUCUGGUCUGUAACUGACGCUGAGGCUCGAAAGCGUGGGGGGCAAACAGG